UAGGCCAAUAGAGGGAAGAAUUGAUCUUCUUCAUCAGUUGUACAUUUGAAUGUCAAGCCUUAGUUAGGAUGCAUCUUUUCGUUUCAUGUUUUUUUUUUUUACUUUUGUUCUCAGUUGUUGGGAUAAAAAGACCAUGGAUCUUUUAUACCACUUCCUAUUCCAAUCUCUCAAGGAAGACAACAUGUCUCUGUAACUUUGUGACGAAAUGCUGUUUGAGUAAACACACAGGACAUUAUUAUUAGUAAGACAGAAAAGGAAGUUGUAUAAAAGAUCUUUUGCCGGAACAAAUGACUACCUGCAACCAAUAUGACCAUUUCAGCUGAUGACUUAAUUGGCCA
rnacentral:lncRNA from 1 species